GCAUCUAACACUUUCAUGCAUAUUUACAAAUACAUAAAAAAGGCUAGUUCAUUUGCAUAACUAUAUCAUGAUACUUAAAACAAAUGUAUAUAUAUACAAUCCCUCCAUCACAUUUCAAAUAGUAUAAAAACUAUGUAAUUUUUGAAAAUAUAACAAUUCAAUCCAUAUUCAAUCAUUUCAAUUCCAUUAAACUACUCUUUUCAUCUAUUUUCGCCCGGAGACCCCUAGUAAAUUGAACUUGGAUAUACGAGAUUUAUUUAUUCACAUAAGAUGACAAAAAUGCAGAUGACUUGAACUUGUUUAGACAGAAAGUUGCCUCGUCAGUUUUUCAUCCACCAGCCUUUAGUGUCGCAACAUUCAUGGAAAUUGACUUCAUAAAGGGCUUGAGGGUCACUUGGUGUCACAACACAACCUUGUUGGUGCCGCGACCUGGACGACAGGCCACUACUUCCCUUCACUUCAAUGUUUGGCUUGGAGUCACAACCUCGAGGGCUUAGAGUCUUGAAUUUGAGGCUUAGUGUUGCGACACCCUAUACUUAAUGUUACGACCUCCAAAGUAGACUACUUUAGGUUAAGUUUUGGUGAAGUUCAACUUCUUCGAGGUGAUGGAAGGUUAGCGUUGCGACACAUAGGCGUCCAUGUCAUGACGAGGAUGGAAGGUCAAUUUCAUUAGACCUAAGCUUUGGUGUUGCGACAACCAUAGCAAUUGGCUUCAUUGAGGGCUCAAGGGUCACAUGGUGUCGUGACACGACCUUGCCGGUGUCGUUACCUGGACAACAAGCCAUUAGGUUCCCUUCACUUCAACAUUUGACUUAGAUUCGCACCCUCAAGGGCUUGAAAUUGUGACUUUGAGGCUCAGUGCCGCAACACCCUAUACUCAGUGUCGUGACCUUCACAAUUGGCUACUCUAGGUUAAACUUUGGUGAAGUUCAAAUUCAUUGUGGUGAUUGAAGGUUAGUGUCGCAACACACAAACACCUAUGUCACAACUUCCACAAUAGUUGAGGUCCUCAUUGAUGUUUGGCCUUAAUCACCUCUCUACACAAACGCAAAUCAAUCAUUAGACCUCCAAUGGCAUAGUUUUGUCACUUUGUGUAUCAAAAGUGAUAAAAAUAUGAUGAAAAUUAGCAUUGAAACUAAAAAAUAAUAAUCAAUAAAAACAUUAAAAAAGACUUUUAAACUAUUUGAGAAUAAGCUCAUUAACUGUAACACCCCCUAACCCCAAACCAUCACCGGAAUAGGAUUACGAGGCAUUACCGGACAUAUAUGAUAAUUUACAAUAAUUCUUAAAUAAAUAUCAAACAUAUUAAGAUAAAAUCAUAAAUUCAUAUAAAAUUACAAAUUGACUUUUUUUUUAUAAAAAUUUCGGCAGCAUUUCUGCUUACUUUUACACUAAACCUCCUGCAAAUAAAACCAUAAAUUUUUACAAACAUAACCAAUUCAGCCAAUUCAACCAAUUCAUUUCAUAUUCUUAUUUUCUAUUCUAAAUACAUUCUAAUCAAACUCAAUUAAUUCAAUAUUAAUUUAAAUUUAUCAAUGUACUAAUUAAUUUGGAAUGGAUAAAUUUCUUUCAUUGAAAUUCUCAGAUUUAUAAUACUAACAUUUUUAGCUAUUUAUAUUCAAAACAUAAUAACGUUUAUACACAUCCUAUGUACAUGCCACAUUCUAAAAGAAAAUAUAUAUCACCAAAAUUUGCUGAAGUCGGGUCUGGUUUUGGACGCUGGCUCAAUACUUGACUUCUACAACCUGCGCAUGGAAACAACCGUACGCUGAGUAUUUUUAUACUCAGUGGUAUUACCAUAAUUCAAAUUAUAAUAACAAUAAAGAAUUAUAAUUACCAAGCAUGUAAUUAUCCAAUUUCUUAAAUAUCAAUUAAUUCAUAAACUUUCAUUACUUAACAAUCACAGUAAAAUUUAUAGUUAUUCUUCAAUUUCAAUCACAUAUCAGAUGUAACAAUUUCAAUCACCCUCAUAUUCAAUACUACAAUCGAUCAAAUUCAUUUAAUUUUCUCAUUUCAAUUAUUCACCCUAUUAACAAUCUGGACUUUGACGGAUACACGGAUUCCAACCCAAUCACACCAGUACGGCACAUUGUGCCUAAAACGGUACAUAGUACCUGAUCAGUAUACGACACAUAAGUGCCUGAAACGACACACGAGGUGCCUGAUACGACACACGAGGUGCCUGAUAUACGACACAUAAAGUGCCUGAUCGACAAAACCGAUAAAUCCCGUACUCUUCCAAAUCCUAUGGCAUGCCAACUAUAUCCGACUUAGCCCGACUAGUUAAUAGGGUAUUUAAAUUCUCAAUUCUCUUCCAUUUCCAAUGCAAGAUCACUUUUCCACUUUCUAGUCAAUUAACAAUUUAAUACCAAUACAUAUUUCAAAUAAUCACAUAUAAUCAUAUUUUGAUUCAAUUCAAUUCACUUUUCUAUCAAUACACAAUCCACAUUUUCACACAUAUUCAUAAAUUAAUUCACUUUAUUUAAUUCAUAUUUUAAAAUUCAUUUUUCAAUCAAAUUUAAAUCACUAAUACUUUUUAAUCAAUAUACAUUUCAAAUAUUCACAUAUUUCCAUCAUUCAAUUUAAUUUGAUUCAAUUCAAGUCACUAUUAUCAUUCCAAUUGCUUACCUAAUUUUUACUUACCAUGCAUUUUAAUUAAAAUAUAACAAUCAAUAAUAAAUAAAUUUGAAUUAUAGUAAUACAAACCCGAAUUUUGCUCGAUUAUUCCUCAAUAACCUUCUCCUUUCCUUUGUGUGCCGAUGCCUCGAGUUCUUUGUUAGUUACGAAAAUAAUAAUAAUUUACACCAUCACUUACAACAUUAAUUUAUAAUAAUAAUAGAAUUUCUAUCUAAUUUAUACUUUAAUUCUAAUUUAAUCCUAACUAAAUUUAUUUACUUUUCCAAUUUAAUUCACACUCUAUUUCUAUUCAAAUUUCAUCCAAACUAAAUUUUAUCUACUAAUUUCUUCAGAAUUUUUCACUAAUUUCGAAUUUCCCUCAAUUUAAUCCCUAAAAUUCAAAACUUAUAGUUUAGUUCACAAUUUUAUCCUUUUAUCAACUCUAACUAGAACUCUAUCAAAUAAAUCAUCAAUUCCAUCAUUUAUUCAACAUAAACCCUAAAAAAAAUCUAUUAACUUUCAAAUUUUCAACUUAAAUCCAAAAGUAUUUCACUCUAGGGUUCCAAAAAAAACAUCAAAAUGAAGAGAAAAGGACUAAAUUUAGCUUACCAAUUAACUUGAAGCUUAAAAAUCUCAAUUUCCCCUUUUCUUUUCUUUCCUUUCUUUCUUCCCCUGUUUUUCGUCUCUUUCUCUGUUUCUUUUCUAGCUAUUCUGUUUCUUUUCUUCUUUGUUUCUUUC
rnacentral:lncRNA from 1 species